GGGGGGGGGGGGGGGGGGGGGGGGGGGAGGCGGGGCGGAGGGGGGCAGAGGAAGAGCUUGCGCUGACGGGUGGCGAGUGGCGGACGGGGGAGGAAUACAGCGGAAUCUACUUUUUCGUGGGGGAUAACGUAGGGAAACUUACGCUAAUACCGCAUACGACCUACGGGUGAAAGCAGGGGAUCUUCGGACCUUGCGCGAUUGAAUGAGCCGAUGUCGGAUUAGCUAGUUGGCGGGGUAAAGGCCCACCAAGGCGACGAUCCGUAGCUGGUCUGAGAGGAUGAUCAGCCACACUGGAACUGAGACACGGUCCAGACUCCUACGGGAGGCAGCAGUGGGGAAUAUUGGACAAUGGGCGCAAGCCUGAUCCAGCCAUACCGCGUGGGUGAAGAAGGCCUUCGGGUUGUAAAGCCCUUUUGUUGGGAAAGAAAAGCAGCAGGUUAAUACCCCGCUGUUCUGACGGUACCCAAAGAAUAAGCACCGGCUAACUUCGUG
rnacentral:rRNA from 1 species